rnacentral:rRNA from 1 species
AUUGAACGCUGGCGGCAUGCUUUACACAUGCAAGUCGAACGGCAGCGCGGGCUUCGGCCUGGCGGCGAGUGGCGAACGGGUGGGUAAUACAUCGGAACGUGCCCAGUAGUGGGGGAUAGCUCGGCGAAAGCCGGAUUAAUACCGCAUACGACCUGAGGGUGAAAGCGGGGGAUCUUCGGACCUCGCGCUAUUGGAGCGGCCGAUGGCAGAUUAGCUAGUUGGUGGGGUAAAGGCCUACCAAGGCGACGAUCUGUAGCUGGUCUGAGAGGACGACCAGCCACACUGGGACUGAGACACGGCCCAGACUCCUACGGGAGGCAACAGUGGGGAAUUUUGGACAAUGGGCGAAAGCCUGAUCCAGCAAUGCCGCGUGUGUGAUGAAGGCCUUCGGGUUGUAAAGCACUUUUGGCGGGAACGAAAAGGACUGUGCCAAUACCACGGUUCGAUGACGGUACCCGCAGAAUAAGCACCGGCUAACUACGUG